UGUAAGCGUAUACCAAAGUUGUUGCAGUUAAAACGCUCGUAGUCGGAAUUUGGCAGUUCCGGAUGUGUGCACGUCGUGUGCGCACUUCGCGGGGAUUGCUUUUGUGGUCUUGCGUAGGAUGAGGCACUUUUAUUAGUGAACGUCCUCACGCAACCACUUUUUACUGUGAGAAAAUCAGAGUGCUCAAAGCAGGCAUUUGCCGUGAAUGUAUUAGCAUGGAAUAAUAGAAUAGGACUUGGUUCUAUUUUGUUGGUUUGUUGGGACUGAGUAAUGAUUAAGAGGGACAGUUGGGGGCAUUUGUAUUUCGGUGCUAGAGGUGAAAUUCUUAGAUUACCGAAAGACAAGCUGCCGCGAAAGCGUCUGCCAAGGAUGUUUUCAUUGA
rnacentral:rRNA from 1 species